GCCAGGGUGGCAGAGUUCGGCUUAAUGCGCUGGACUUAAGAUCCAGAUGACACUACCCGUGUCACGCGGGUUCAAAGUCAUCAUGGGAUGCUGGAAAUCCCGUCCCUGGCG
rnacentral:tRNA from 1 species